UGAGAAAAACUGGAAGGAAUCUGGAGAAGAAAAAACUAUUAGACGUUCUUUGAGGAAAGCUGAACUCUAAUUUUAGAAGUUGAAAAGCUUUUUUGGUGAAAACAGAGCAGAAGACCACUUAUACUGGGUGAUGGCUGAGAUAUGGCAGCUUCCGAUCCCACCCCUCACGAUCCUUAACCAUCCCUCUAACAGUUAAAGGCAGUGGUUUGAGGUGUUGGAGAGGAUUGCAAAUUCUCACAUACCGUACAUCUCUAAUGUAAUGAUUACAGCAUCUGAGGUGGCCGGAUCAGUUACUCUCCCAUGAAGACAAUCGGAGAGACGUUUGUUGUGAUUUGAACGUGCUCUCAGAGGGCUGAGCCAGCCUAUUCCUUCUGGUCUUAGAACCUGUCGAGGAACAGGCAACAUAAUCAAAAUGGAAAUGUUUCCUCGUGAGCACAUUGAUUUUUAACCUUGGACUCACGGUCCUAAAGGCUAACUCACUGGAUACAAAUAAAGAAGGUGGAAGUGUUUUAAGGAAGUCAAGAGACAUAAAAAAGGGAAGGAAAGAGUUCAGGCAAAGAAGUCAAAAGGGUAGCAAGAUGGAUGUCGAGGGGACCUUGGUAGUCAGAGGAUCUGAGGACCUCUCUGUGGGGUGCUUUGUGUGUGGAGAAGGUAGGACUGGCCAUUGCUGGAAGUAUGCAUCUGGGGUACCCAGGAAUUUCCAGUAAGUGAUCUAGCCUUCCUUAUAUUCAAUAAUAUCACUAAGAAGAGAUUUUAUGCCGGUCUACAAUUUCACUCUGAAGAAUGCAUUACUAAAGCCUGUUUUAUUAAAAUUAUUUUUCAAACUGA